CAGUCGCCGCGGUAAUACGGAGGGGGCUAGCGUUGUUCGGAAUUACUGGGCGUAAAGCGCACGUAGGCGGCUUGGUAAGUUAGUGGUGAAAGCCCGGAGCUCAACUCCGGAAUUGCCUUUAAGACUGCCGAGCUAGCAGGUGAGAGAGGUAAGUGGAAUUCCGAGUGUAGAGGUGAAAUUCGUAGAUAUUCGGAAGAACACCAGUGGCGAAAACGGCUUACUGGCUCAUACUGGACGCUGAGGUGCGAAAGCGUGGGGAGCAAACAGGAUUAGAUACCCGUGUAGUCCCUGUCUCUUAUAC
rnacentral:rRNA from 1 species